rnacentral:rRNA from 1 species
UACGGAGGGUGCAAGCGUUAUCCGGAUUCACUGGGUUUAAAGGGUGCGUAGGCGGGCAGGUAAGUCCGUGGUGAAAUCUCUGAGCUUAACUCAGAAACUGCCAUGGAUACUAUUUGUCUUGAAUAUUGUGGAGGUAAGCGGAAUAUGUCAUGUAGCGGUGAAAUGCUUAGAUAUGACAUAGAACACCAGUGGCGAAGGCGGCUCACUGGCCCGGUACUGACGCUGAGGUGCGAAAGCGUGGGGAGCAAACAGG